rnacentral:lncRNA from 1 species
UGAAUAUUGACAUAAAAAUUUAAACUAAGUAAAUAAAUAAAUAAAUAAAUAAAAAUAAAAAUAAAACUUUACAACUUGGGCCACUUUGACAAUUUGGCCUGAUUUUCAACUAAGUAUGGAUGGAUUUCUUGAUUGGGCUGGGAAUUUACUUAUUGGGCCUCGCCUUCAAGAAUUUGGGCUUUUGUGACUCGUAUCAUUCCCCCCUUCCUCAAAAAGAUUCGUCCUCGAAUCUGAAAAAUCAAAUGAACUCGACUUUCCUCUAUCGAACGGGACUAAUGGCAAUUGAGUCCACUGAGAAGAAUAGCCAUGAGAUAGUAAAUAGCAACGGAAAUAAGCUUGUAGUCCAAUCAUAAGCAUAAUAGAACAGGUAUAACGCAUGUGAAUGGACAGAUUCAGAUUACCAUGCAAACAAUCUAAUUUACUCACCACUGCCUCGUCAAAUAUUUGAAACAAAGAUGGACAUGUUUUAAGGCAUUCAGUCGUCUCACAUUGUUCCCACAAACCAUGAAUAAAUUGCGAGUAAUAAAUCAAAUGGUAAACAUAAUCGUCACAAGUAGGUAUUUGAAAAGAUUCACAUG